GAUGAACGCUGGCGGCGUGCCUAAUACAUGCAAGUCGAGCGAACAGACGAGGAUCUUUCUCCUCUGACGUUAGCGUCGGACGGGUGAGUAACACGUGGAUAACCUACCUAUAUGACUUGGAUCACUUCGGGAAACCGGAGCUAAUAAUGGCUAAUAUUAUCAACUACAUGGAUCACUCGUCAAAGACGGUUUUGCUGUCCCUCAUUGAUGUGUCAGCGCCGCAUUACCUAGUUGGUAAGUGAACGGCUUACGAAGGCACCGAUGGGUAGCCGGUCUCAGAGGGUGAUUGACCAGCCUGGAAGUGAGAGACGGUCGAGACACCGACGGGAGGCAGCAGUAGGGAAUCUUCCGCAAGGGAGGAGAGCUUGACGGAGCAACGCCGGGUGAGUGAUGAUGGUCUUCGGAUCGGAGAACGCUGUUAUUAGGGAGGAAGAAAUGUGUAAGUAACUAUGAACAUCUUGACGGUACCUAAUCAGAAAGCAACGGCUAACUACGUG
rnacentral:rRNA from 1 species